rnacentral:rRNA from 1 species
CUAAGGCCAACGGGAGAAGGGUUGUUAAGGAACUCGGCAAAUUGACCCCGUAACUUCGGGAGAAGGGGUGCUCCAGAGAUGGAGCCGCAGAGAAUCGGCCCAAGCAACUGUUUACCAAAAACACAGGUUUGUGCUAAAUCGAAAGAUGACGUAUACGAGCUGACGCCUGCCCGGUGCUGGAAGGUUAAGAGGAGAUGUGCAAGCAUUGAAUCGAAGCCCCAGUGAACGGCGGCCGUAACUAUAACGGUCCUAAGGUAGCGAAAUUCCUUGUCAGGUAAGUUCUGACCCGCAUGAAAGGCGUAAUGAUUUGGGCACUGUCUCAACAGCCCGCCCGGCGAAAUUGUAGUACCGGUGAAGAUGCCGGUUACCCGCGACAAGACGGAAAGACCCCAUGGAGCUUUACUGUAGCCUAAUAUUGGGUUUCGAUGUUGCAUGCACAGGAUAGAUGGGACACUGGGAAGCAGGUGCUUUGGCGCUUGUGGAGUGGCCGUUGGGAUACCAUCCUUGCGAUAUUGGAAUUCUAACCUGCGCCUUUGAAUCAAGGCGGGGGACAUUGUUAGGUGGGCAGUUUGACUGGGGCGGUCGCCUCCUAAAGAGUAACGGAGGCGUUCAAAGGUUCGCUCAGCUUGAACGGAAAUCAAGCAAAAGAGUGCAAACGCAGAAGCGAGCCUAACUGCGAGACUGACGGGUCGAGCAGUAACGAAAGUUGGAGUUAGUGAUCCGGUGGUAUGUGAGUGGAAAUGCCAUCGCUCAACGGAUAAAAGUUACCCUGGGGAUAACAGGCUGAUCUCCCCCAAGAGUCCACAUCGACGGGGAGGUUUGGCACCUCGAUGUCGGCUCAUCGCAUCCUGGGGCUGUAUUCGGUCCCAAGGGUUUGGCUGUUCGCCAAUUAAAGCGGUACGCGAGCUGGGUUCAGAACGUCGUGAGACAGUUCGGUCCCUAU